rnacentral:rRNA from 1 species
GACGAACGCUGGCGGCGUGCUUAACACAUGCAAGUCGAACGGAAAGGCCCUGCUUUUGUGGGGUGCUCGAGUGGCGAACGGGUGAGUAACACGUGAGUAACCUGCCCUUGACUUUGGGAUAACUUCAGGAAACUGGGGCUAAUACCGGAUAGGAGCUCCUGCUGCAUGGUGGGGGUUGGAAAGUUUCGGCGGUUGGGGAUGGACUCGCGGCUUAUCAGCUUGUUGGUGGGGUAGUGGCUUACCAAGGCUUUGACGGGUAGCCGGCCUGAGAGGGUGGCCGGAGAGAGGAGGAGGGAGAUAAGGAGCAGGGGACUACGGGAGGCGGCAGCGGGGAGGAUUGCGCAAUGGGGGCAAGCGUGUGGAAGCGACGCCGCGUGGGGGAUGAGGGGGUGCGGGUGGGAAACGCCGUGAAGCGAGGACGAAGCCCGGGGGGUGACGGUAGUGGGAGAAGAAGCACCGGCUAACUACGUG